AAUAGUUGGUAAAUAGAAUAAAAAAUAACAAUAAAAUAGAAAUAAAUCUGUAUGAUAAAAAAUUGUCCCUCAGCAGCUACUUGUUGGAAUGAAGGAUGUUCUUCCUUACAUGGUAAAAACUUGAGAACGACCAAGAACCUGAACAGUUUCGCAAGUUAUUUAUUGGAGGUCUUGAUUAUAGAAGCACUGAAGAAUCAUUAAAAAAUCAUUUUGAAGAAUGGGG
rnacentral:misc_RNA from 1 species